AGCUCCAAUAGCGUAUAUUAAAGUUGUUGCGGUUAAAAGCUCGUAGUUGGAUUUCUGCCGAGGGCGACCGGUCCGCCCUCUGGGUGAGUAUCUGGCUCGGCCUGGGCAUCUUCUUGGAGAGUGUAUCUGCACUUGACUGUGUGGUGCAGUAUCCAGGACUUUUACUUUGAGGAAAUUAGAGUGUUUCAAGCAGGCACACGCCUUGAAUACAUUAGCAUGGAAUAAUAAGAUAGGACCUUGGUUCUAUUUUGUUGGUUUCUAGGGCUGAGGUAAUGAUUAAUAGGGAUAGUUGGGGGCAUUCGUAUUUAACUGUCAGAGGUGAAAUUCUUGGAUUUGUUAAAGACGGACGACUGCGAAAGCAUUUGCCAAGGAUGUUUUCAUUGAUCAAGAACGAGUUGACACGCUGAGACUCCAAGGCACACA
rnacentral:rRNA from 1 species